rnacentral:rRNA from 1 species
GAUGAACGCUGGCGGCGUGCCUAACACAUGCAAGUCGAACGAAGCACCUUACCUGAUUCUUCGGAUGAAAGUUUGGUGACUGAGUGGCGGACGGGUGAGUAACGCGUGGGUAACCUGCCCUGUACAGGGGGAUAACAGCUGGAAACGGCUGCUAAUACCGCAUAAGCGCACGAGGAGACAUCUCCUUGUGUGAAAAACUCCGGUGGUACAGGAUGGGCCCGCGUCUGAUUAGCUGGUUGGCAGGGUAACGGCCUACCAAGGCAACGAUCAGUAGCCGGUCUGAGAGGAUGAACGGCCACAUUGGAACUGAGACACGGUCCAAACUCCUACGGGAGGCAGCAGUGGGGAAUAUUGCACAAUGGGGGUAACCCUGAUGCAGCAACGCCGCGUGAGUGAAGAAGUAUUUCGGUAUGUAAAGCUCUAUCAGCAGGGAAGAUAAUGACGGUACCUGACUAAGAAGCUCCGGCUAAAUACGUG